AGUUCCCAGAGCCUCUUAAUAUGCGCUGAGGUUGGCCAUCGAGGGGGUUUUAGUGGGUAGAAAUCCUACAUAACCCGAUCUCUCCUCAAAGAGGUCGGGUA